AGGAGGCAACCAUCAAAUUUUUUGCCAAUUUAGAAACAAGGCCUAGAAAAAGCCUGGACCAAGGAUAUGGAGUCGAGAUUCGAGACAAGGCUCAAUCCCAUGAAGCCCAAGGAUCAAUUUGUGCAAGCUUAGAUCAAGUAAGAGGAUCAUCGAUGCCAUCAAGACUGAAAAGCCUUAUGGGCCGCUGAGACAACCAGCCU
rnacentral:lncRNA from 1 species